rnacentral:tRNA from 1 species
GCUCGGAUGGAGAAAUAGGUAAACUCAUCAGAUUUAAGCUCUGACGGUCAUUGACCUUGCGGGUUCGAUUCCCGCUCCGAGUA